rnacentral:tRNA from 1 species
UCUAAUAUGACAGAAUAGUGUAUAAAAUUUAAGAUUUUAAAAUGAAAUUUAUUUCUAUUAGAA